UACGUAGGGUGCAAGCGUUAAUCGGAAUUACUGGGCGUAAAGCGUGCGCAGGCGGUUCGGAAAGAAAGAUGUGAAAUCCCAGGGCUUAACCUUGGAACUGCAUUUUUAACUACCGGGCUAGAGUGUGUCAGAGGGGGGUGGAAUUCCACGUGUAGCAGUGAAAUGCGUAGAUAUGUGGAGGAACACCGAUGGCGAAGGCAGCCCCCUGGGAUAACACUGACGCUCAUGCACGAAAGCGUGGGGAGCAAACAGG
rnacentral:rRNA from 1 species